rnacentral:rRNA from 1 species
GAUGAACGCUAGCGGGAGGCUUAACACAUGCAAGUCGAGGGGCAGCACUGAUAGCAAUAUUAGGUGGCGACCGGCGGACGGGUGAGUAACGCGUAUGCAACCUACCCUUUACAGGGGGAUAGCCCGGAGAAAUUCGGAUUAAUACCCCAUAGAUCAGUGAUUCUGCAUGGGAUUACUGGUAAAGCUUCGGCGGUAAAGGAUGGGCAUGCGUCCCAUUAGCUAGUUGGUAGGGUAACGGCCUACCAAGGCAACGAUGGGUACGGGGUCUUAAAGGAUGGACCCGCACACUGGCACUGAGACACGGGCCAGACUCCUACGGGAGGCAGCAGUGAGGAAUAUUGGUCAAUGGGGGAACCCUGAACCAGCCAUCCCGCGUGCAGGAAGACAGUUCUAUGGAUUGUAAACUGCUUUUCUUGGGAAGAAUAAUGACGACGUGUCGUCAGAUGACGGUACCCGAGGAAUAAGCAUCGGCUAACUCCGUGCCAGCAGCCGCGGUAAAACGU